UACGGAGGAUCCUAGUGUUAUCCGGAUUUAUUGGGUUUAAAGGGAGCGUAGGCGGGAGGUCAAGUCAGCUGUGAAAUGUAUCUGCUUAACGGGUACACUGCAGUUGAAACUGGUUUUCUUGAGUGCGUAAGAGGCAGGCGGAAUUCGUUGUGUAGCGGUGAAAUGCUUAGAUAUGACGAGGAACUCCUAUUGCGAAGGCAGCUUGCUGGGUCGUUACUGACGCUGAGGCACGAAAGCGUGGGGAGCGAACAGGAUUAGAUACCCU
rnacentral:rRNA from 1 species